rnacentral:rRNA from 1 species
AGAGUUUGAUCAUGGCUCAGAGCGAACGCUGGCGGCAGGCUUAACACAUGCAAGUCGAGCGGGCGUAGCAAUACGUCAGCGGCAGACGGGUGAGUAACGCGUGGGAACGUACCUUUUGGUUCGGAACAACACAGGGAAACUUGUGCUAAUACCGGAUAAGCCCUUACGGGGAAAGAUUUAUCGCCGAAAGAUCGGCCCGCGUCUGAUUAGCUAGUUGGUGUGGUAACGGCGCACCAAGGCGACGAUCAGUAGCUGGUCUGAGAGGAUGAUCAGCCACAUUGGGACUGAGACACGGCCCAAACUCCUACGGGAGGCAGCAGUGGGGAAUAUUGGACAAUGGGCGCAAGCCUGAUCCAGCCAUGCCGCGUGAGUGAUGAAGGCCCUAGGGUUGUAAAGCUCUUUUGUGCGGGAAGAUAAUGACGGUACCGCAAGAAUAAGCCCCGGCUAACUUCGUGCCAGCAGCCGCGGUAAUACGAAGGGGGCUAGCGUUGCUCGGAAUCACUGGGCGUAAAGGGUGCGUAGGCGGGUCUUUAAGUCAGGGGUGAAAUCCUGGAGCUCAACUCCAGAACUGCCUUUGAUACUGAGGAUCUUGAGUUCGGGGGAGGUGAGUGGAACUGCGAGUGUAGAGGUGAAAUUCGUAGAUAUUCGCAAGAACACCAGUGGCGAAGGCGGCUCACUGGCCCGAUACUGACGCUGAGGCACGAAAGCGUGGGGAGCAAACAGGAUUAGAUACCCUAGUAGUCC